CACGUAGGGGGCGAGCGUUGUCCGGAAUCAUUGGGCGUAAAGAGCUCGUAGGCGGCUCAGUAAGUCGGGUGUGAAACCCCCAGGCUCAACCUGGGGACGCCACCCGAUACUGCUGUGGCUAGAGUCCAGUAGGGGAGUGUGGAAUUCCCGGUGUAGCGGUGAAAUGCGCAGAUAUCGGGAGGAACACCAGCGGCGAAGGCGGCACUCUGGGCUGGAACUGACGCUGAGACGCGAAAGCGUGGGGAGCGAACAGG
rnacentral:rRNA from 1 species